UCCACAUGAUGAUUUAGAAGAGUCAGGAGCUCCUGGGCUUUGAUGACCCUGAUCUAUCACCCUUGUCUGAUGGAC